rnacentral:rRNA from 1 species
UACAGAGGUCCCAAGCGUUGUUCGGAUUCAUUGGGCGUAAAGGGUGCGUAGGUGGCGCUGUAAGUCGGGUGUGAAAUUUCGGAGCUUAACUCCGAAACUGCAUUCGAUACUGCGGUGCUUGAGGACUGGAGAGGAGACUGGAAUUCAUGGUGUAGCAGUGAAAUGCGUAGAGAUCAUGAGGAAGACCAGUGGCGAAGGCGGGUCUCUGGAAAGUUCCUGACACUGAGGCACGAAGGCCAGGGGAGCAAACGGG